AUACGGAGGAUCCGAGCGUUAUCCGGAUUUAUUGGGUUUAAAGGGUGCGCAGGCGGGAGAUUAAGUCGGCGGUGAAAUUUUGCAGCUCAACUGGAAAAGUGCCUUCGAAACUGGUUUCCUUGAGUGUGGAUGAAGUAGGCGGAAUUUGUGGUGUAGCGGUGAAAUGCAUAGAUAUCACGAGGAACUCCGAUUGCGCAGGCAGCUUACUAAACUACUACUGACGCUCAGGCACGAAGGCGUGGGGAUCAAACAGGAUUAGAUACCCUGGUAGUCCACGCAGUAAACGAUGAUUACUAGCUGUUUGCGAUACAAUGUAAGCGGCUGAGCGAAAGCGUUAAGUAAUCCACCUGGGGAGUACGUUCGCAAGGUUGAAACUCAAAGGAAUUGACGGGG
rnacentral:rRNA from 1 species